AUAUAUACAGCACCUGCAGGUGCACCCAGCACAAUGGUAAUAGGAAAGACGGUGUGAAUCCGUCACAAGCCAGUCCUUGCUGUAUUCGAAGUCUGCAGCAGCUGAUGUCACAGCUGAAUCGUGAUAUCAUAUUCUGAUUUUUUAGUACUUUAGAAAGUACUUAUCCCGUUUAUCGGGGUUAGAUGAGUCACUGGGAUUAUCCCGGGAAGACGGCUGCUUUGCAGGAUAAUUCGUGAGUCAGAAAGCCUGCCUGCACAGGUGAAUCCAA
rnacentral:ncRNA from 2 species